GUUAGGAAUAUUGGACAAUGGGCGCAAGCCUGAUCCAGCCAUGCCGCGUGAACGAUGAAGGCCUUCGGGUUGUAAAGUUCUUUAGCCGAUGAUUAUAAUGACUGUAGUCGGAAAAUAAGCCCCGGCUAACUUCGUGCCAGCAGCCGCGGUAAUACGAAGGGGGCGAGCGUUAUUCGGAAUCACUGGGCGUAAAGCGUGCGUAGGCGGUUUUGUAAGUUAGGAGUGAAAGCCCAGGGCUCAACCUUGGAAUUGCUCUUAAAACUGCAAGGCUCGAAUCUCGGAGAGGAUAGCGGAAUUUCCAGUGUAGCAGUGAAAUGCGUAGAUAUUGGAAGGAACACCAGUGGCGUAAGCGGCUAUCUGGACGAGUAUUGACGCUGAGGCACGAAAGCGUGGGGAGCAAACAGGAUUAGAAACCCGAGUAGUCC
rnacentral:rRNA from 1 species